CAAGGCGCGUGUGGGAUGGAGAUGAUGGUUUAUUAGCACCUAACGGUUAGCAUGCGGAAUCCUCUUACAAUCAAUGACUCCCGUACGCACAAACACACCAACAUCACUCUCUGUCUCUUUGUCUCUCCGAUUCUCUGUUUUGGUCUCAAAUGGCGGUUCCUCCGUCGGUCGCCGCCUCUCCGGCGUGCCCUACGUCGGCGACCUCCAUUCUGGCGCGUCUCCGACAGCCACCUAAUUGAUGCAUUCUGAGUUCAAGAGCCUUAAGUGUGUCCGCGUCUGCAAAGACUCCUCCACCGCCUAGCAUAGCAGCAAAAAUAACAGGUAUGCUUUGGAGAUGGAAAAUUGAGAACUGUUGGUUCUCCUCGAAUCGUCGAAGGCUCUUCCAGCUAAGGUGGAAGAAGUUGUGGAAGUGCUUAAGAACACUAAGACCAAAGUAUAUGGACAGAACAUACUUCGUUCAAAUUAUCUUUCAGCUCAAGUUGCAGUAAGCUAAACACUUUAACCUGAUAUUUGAGACAUGAAUUUUGACAUCAAUGAUUACCUUAGCGUUUCUUCUACAAUAUAUUUCCUCACAAAAAAACAAAAUUACGUCUUCUAGGCUUAAGUUUGACAAAAUUUGGAAGU